rnacentral:sRNA from 1 species
CUUCUUGAUUUUUAGUAGCAAUAUUAGGGGUGGUUUGUGGAUAUUUUCGAUUUGAAUUUCUUAAUUUUAUUGAAUCUUCAAAUAUGGUUUUAUCAAAUGUUAUUGGAUUAAUUUUUCUAAGUUCUGCUAAAUUUAAAUUAUUCACCUGUUGUGGUUGCACUAUAAUAUGCUCACCAGUAAUAGGAAUUAAAUUUUUAAAUUCAGGAUUAGUAGUUACUUUAUCUUU